rnacentral:rRNA from 1 species
ACGCCCGCCGUGGGGGAUUGAUUUUCCGCGGCCAAGCGAAAGCGUUAAGCGUCCCACCUGGGGAGUACGCCGGCAACGGUGAAACUCAAAGGAAUUGACGGGGGCCCGCACAAGCGGAGGAACAUGUGGUUUAAUUCGAUGAUAUGCGAGGAACCUUACCCGGGCUUGAACUGCGGGGGGAAUCGGCCGGAGACGGUCGCGCCCUUCGGGGUCCCUGCGGAGGUGCUGCAUGGUUGUCGUCAGCUCGUGCCGUGAGGUGUCGGCUCAAGUGCCAUAACGAGCGCAACCCCCGCCCCCAGUUGCCAUCGGGCGAGGCCGGGCACUCUGGGGGGACUGCCGCGGCAAGGUGCGAGGAAGGCGGGGACGACGUCAAAUCAGCACGGCCCUUACGUCCGGGGCCACACACGUGUUACAAUGGGGCGCACAGAGCGCUGGGUGCGCGCAAGCGCGCCCGAAUCGCGAAACCGCCCCUCAGUUCGGACUGGGGUCUGCAACCCGACCCCACGAAGCUGGAUUCGCUAGUAAUCGCGCAUCAGCCAUGGCGCGGUGAAUACGUUCCCGGGCCUUGUACACACCGCCCGUCAAGCCAUGAAAGCCGGGGGCGCCUGAAGUCCGUGACCGCGAGGGUCGGCCUAGGGCGAGACCGGUGAUUGGGGCUAAGUCGUAACAAGGUAACCGUAA